UACGUAGGAGGCGAGCGUUGUCCGGAAUUACUGGGCGUAAAGCGCGCGUAGGUGGCGCUGUACGAGCGGUGUGAAAGCCCCCGGCUCAACUGGGGAGGGUCACGCGAUACUGAUCGACUCGAAGGCAGGAGAGGGAAGUGGAAUUCCCGGUGUAGUGGUGAAAUGCGUAGAUAUCGGGAGGAACACCAGUGGCGAAGGCGACUUCCUGGCCUGUUCUUGACGCUGAGGCGCGAAAGCUAGGGGAGCAAACGGGG
rnacentral:rRNA from 1 species